UACAGAGGUCUCAAGCGUUGUUCGGAUUCAUUGGGCGUAAAGGGUGCGUAGGUGGCGCUGUAAGUCGGGUGUGAAAUUUCGGAGCCUAACUCCGAAACUGCAUUCGAUACUGCGGUGCUUGAGGACUGGAGAGGAGACUGGAAUUCAUGGUGUAGCAGUGAAAUGCGUAGAGAUCAUGAGGAAGACCAGUGGCGAAGGCGGGUCUCUGGACAGUUCCUGACACUGAGGCACGAAGGCCAGGGGAGCAAACGGG
rnacentral:rRNA from 1 species